UACGUAGGGUGCAAGCGUUGUCCGGAAUUAUUGGGCGUAAAGGGCUCGUAGGCGGUCUGUCACGUCGGGAGUGAAAACUCUGGGCUCAACCCAGAGAGGCCACCCGAUACUGCUGUGACUAGAGUGCGGUAGGGGAGCGGGGAAUUCCUGGUGUAGCGGUGAAAUGCGCAGAUAUCAGGAGGAACACCAGCGGCGAAGGCGCCGCUCUGGGCCGUAACUGACGCUGAGGAGCGAAAGCAUGGGUAGCAAACAGG
rnacentral:rRNA from 1 species